AUUGAACGCUGGCGGCAGGCCUAACACAUGCAAGUCGAGCGGAUGACGGGAGCUUGCUCCUUGAUUCAGCGGCGGACGGGUGAGUAAUGCCUAGGAAUCUGCCUGGUAGUGGGGGACAACGUUUCGAAAGGAACGCUAAUACCGCAUACGUCCUACGGGAGAAAGCAGGGGACCUUCGGGCCUUGCGCUAUCAGAUGAGCCUAGGUCGGAUUAGCUAGUUGGUGAGGUAAUGGCUCACCAAGGCGACGAUCCGUAACUGGUCUGAGAGGAUGAUCAGUCACACUGGAACGGAGACACGGUCCAGACUCCUACGGGAGGCAGCAGUGGGGAAUAUUGGACAAUGGGCGAAAGCCUGAUCCAGCCAUGCCGCGUGUGUGAAGAAGGUCUUCGGAUUGUAAAGCACUUUAAGUUGGGAGGAAGGGCAGUAAGUUAAUACCUUGCUGUUUUGACGUUACCGACAGAAUAAGCACCGGCUAACCCUGUGCCAGCAGCCGCCGUAA
rnacentral:rRNA from 1 species